UUAUAUACCAAAAUACCUUUCUUUUUAUUUUUUUUCUAAUUUUGGAAACCUUUAGUAAUAUUUUCUCCAUUUUUCAUUUUUUUUUCAAAGGAAAGAGAAAAACAGUGCAGCUACCACCACUACUAGAAUAGCAUCAUGGCAGCGACAGUUGGUGUUCUAUCAAUGGUGACAGCCAAUUUUUCUUGCCCUUUUUGAUUAUUUAUUUUUCGAGUCUGUAUUUUAACUUUCUUUCUUGCUUAAACAACCACCGAUUGAUUGCCAGUAAAUCUGAUUUUUUUUUUUAGGCUACACAUGCUGGUCAGGAGUUUAAAAAAAGAAAAAAAAGAAAAAAAAAUCAAAAUCAAGUGAAAAACAUUUAAAGCACUACUGAUAGAUAGGGAUGACAAUUUGCCCUGUAUAUCUCGAAAAUUGCAGGGUACCACCUCUGAUAGGAUGAUUUUUUUUCGAAAAAUCGGGAUGGCAGGACAAACUCGGGAUAGGAGAUCAAAACCCGGUUUGAGAUUAGGCCGGGUCCGGGGAAUAAAUACCUCGGCCCGAUAUAUAUAUAUAUAUAUAUAUAUUAUCAUGUAAUUUAUUUGUUAAAACUUGAAAAAACAAGCCCUACCCUACCCCCUCUUCAUUUUCUUCUUGCUGUGUGCCGACAUUGCCACCACCCACCUGCUGUUUUAGCCUUCAUUGCCGUCGGGCCACCUGCUGCAGCAGUCAAUUGAAGAACACAGUUGGUUGACUGGUUAUGAGCUCUUUGUGCUUGCUGUUGAUCUUUGUACCACAAAGAAGUUGUUGAGAUGGCAUCAUCAACAGCUGGGGCCACAAGAUGGUAUAGAGGAAGAGUGAAAUCUGUUUCUUCAGGGGAUUGCUUGGUGAUUACUGCUAUGGCGGCUAACAAACCAGGACCCCCACCCAAAAAGACUAUUACCUUAUCAUCUCUUAUUGCUCCUAGAUUGGUAACUAACAAUUCCUUCUAAUUAACCGUGUAAGCCUCCUUUAUUUCUUGGGGCUUCCUCUGAUUGUAUGCCUCUCACUUUUUCUCCAAAAUUUUAUGUGUGUAGGUGAUUUUUCUAUUUUUUGAGACAUAAAUUCCACAUUAGACUUCUUGUUGA